rnacentral:rRNA from 1 species
UACAGAGGGUGCAAGCGUUGUUCGGAAUUAUUGGGCAUAAAGCGCACGUAGGCGGCCUGUUAAGUCGGGUGUGAAAUCCCUGGGCUCAACCCAGGAAGUGCACUCGAAACUGGCGGGCUUGAAUAUGGAAGAGGGUCGCGGAAUUCACGGUGUAGCAGUGAAAUGCGUAGAUAUCGUGAGGAACACCAGAGGCGAAGGCGGCUACCUGGACAAUUGCUGACGCUCAGGCACGAAAGCGUGGGGAGCAAAAGGG